GCGGAUGUAGCUCAAUGGUAGAGCCGCAGGCUUCCAUCCUGCUGACGAGGGUUCGAUUCCCUUCAUCCGCU
rnacentral:tRNA from 1 species